GCGGGAUUAGUUUACCGGUAAAACAUCAGAUUUCCAAUCUGAGGUAAGGAGUUCGAUUCUCCUAUCCCGCU
rnacentral:tRNA from 1 species